UCGGGAAUUUUGGGCAAUGGGCGAAAGCCUGACCCAGCAACGCCGCGUGAAGGAUGAAGUAUUUCGGUAUGUAAACUUCGAAAGAAUGGGAAGAAUAAAUGACGGUACCAUUUAUAAGCUCCGGCUAACUACGUGCCAGCAGCCGCGGUAAUACGUAGGGUGCAAGCGUUAAUCGGAAUUACUGGGCGUAAAGGGCGUGUAGGCGGUCAGGUAAGUGGGAUGUGAAAUGCCCCGGCUCACCCGGGGACCUGCAUCCCAAACUGCUUGGCUUGAGUAUGGGAGAGGAUGAGGGAAUUCCUGGUGUAGCGGUGAAAUGCGUAGAUAUCAGGAGGAACACCGGUGGCGAAGGCGCUCAUCUGGCCCAAUACUGACGCUGAGGCGCGAAAGCUAGGGGAGCAAA
rnacentral:rRNA from 1 species